rnacentral:rRNA from 1 species
AAUAAGCGGAGGAAAAGAAACCAACCGGGAUUGCCUCAGUAACGGCGAGUGAAGCGGCAACAGCUCAAAUUUGAAAGCCCGCGGGCGUUGUAAUUUGCAGGCGGAUGUUUUGGGGCGGGCGCUGUCUACGUUCCUUGGAACAGGACGCCGCAGAGGGUGAGAGCCCCGUGCGAUGGCGCCUCUAACCGCGUAAAACUCCGCCGACGAGUCGAGUUGUUUGGGAAUGCAGCUCCAAGUGGGUGGUAAAUUCCAUCUAAAGCUAAAUACUGGCGAGAGACCGAUAGCGAACAAGUACAGUGAUGGAAAGAUGAAAAGCACUUUGAAAAGAGAGUGAAACAGCACGUGAAAUUGUUGAAAGGGAAGGGUAUGCGAUUAGCGGCCAGCAGGAGGUGCCUUCUCGUGAAAAGGCCGUGCACCGUCUUCGGACACCGUGCGCGGAGAUGGCGA